rnacentral:pre_miRNA from 1 species
AGGGGAGUUGCUGGGUUAUGUGGUAUCUCUAUGUUUAACUUUUUGAUGAAUUUCCAAAUUGUUUUCAAAAUGGUUGUACCUUUUACAUUCCCACUAACAAU